AUAGAUUAUAGAAAGAUUUACAAAAUCUAACUAAAAAAACAGACAACCGCCCAGGCGCCUAAUUUGACCGCUCAACGGUUUGCCUCUUGCCGCUUUGACUGCUCAGCGGUCAGUUCUGCCGCUGAGCGGUUUCCCUCUAAUCGCUCUGAGCGCUCAAUGGACCAUUCUGGCGCUCAGCGGCUUGCUUGACCCUACUUUUCAUCAUUUUUCUCCUUCUUUCAUGGGUCUAAGUUUCCCUUACUUCACUUCCAUAUUUAAUUCAUCUAAAAACCCUGCAAAACAAUGCAAAACAAGCAUAAUAUCACUAAAACCAACUUUUGACUCUCAAGAGACUCAACUAAGUGUUUUACUUUAUUUAAAGCUCAUUCUAAGCCAUAAAGGGUGUGUUUUACUAUCAAAUUUAUAUAUGAAAAUAACAGGUUUUAGACCGUUAUCAAUAGGCUAGAACUCCUCUCUCCCCUAAACCCAUAACCACCCAACCAGAUUUUCCUUCUUGGAGCCCCAAUUCCUCACCUCCAACACUUCACCAUCAGCUUGAGCAUUCAUGACUCCAUCCCCUUAACACGAACUCUCAUUUGCAUACAAAGAAAAAAAAGGCCAGCCAGAAGAGGGAGAGAAUACAAUAGUGAAAAAAAAGAGCACAAGAUUGACCACGCCUUAGAGGGAACAUUCUUUCACCAUCCACGGCUUAGAGGGAACACUCUUUCACCAUCAUCGCUCCUGCAAGAGCAUUGGGUAACCAAAAGAAAGUUCAAUCAAGAAAGCAGAGGAAACCAUAAUCAAAAGGAGAAGUUCUGAAGCCGCGAAGGUAAGUCUCUCUAUUAUGUCUGGAUAAGAAUGAAUGGUGUUUGAUGAGUGUAUAUAGUUGGAUUUAUUUUCUCUGGACAUGAAUGAAUGGUGUUUGAUGAGGGCAUACAGUUGGGUUUAUCUCCUUUGUGGUUUCAUCCGAUAAUCAAAAUACACCUAAGAUGUAAUUCCUAUUGCCUGCAAAUUCAAUCAGAUUUAACUAACAAUAUAGGCAUUCACUCCCCCAACAUCAAGACCUGAAUACCCGUUUACUUCUGCCCAAAACACACUAAAAAAAUAACAUAGAGAAGGUAUUGGACCAGGACCAAUUACCAAGUAGUAUAAUCCCGACACCUGCACACAGCAAUUGUUAUCGUCUUGUUAGGUCUGAUGAUGUUUGGUUUGGAUUUCUGCUGGCGUUUGAAUUGAACUUGUAGCUACAUUGGAAUGUUACUUUAUCUGGUUCUGUAGCCUUGUUUUCCAUUCAUCCAUCAUCAACUUAGGUCCGUUACCUUUCCCUAUGCUUUCUCACCCUCAUCGCGCAGCCACGAACCAACCAUCUUUCCCCCAUCAUAUAGAACUCAUUCACGACACCAAUCGGAAUAUCACUC
rnacentral:lncRNA from 1 species